AGAAUGAAAUCGUCGAAAUUGCUGGUUCUGGCCGUGGCUGCCGCCGCCGUCGUGGCGGUGCCGCUGGUGAUGGCGCAGAGCGCCGACAAGGGCAAGACGGGCGAGACCGCCCAGGACGCCGCCGUGGACAAGGCGCAGAACGAGGCCGAGCAGAAGGCCAAGCGCCGCGCCGCCGCCGCCGCCCAGGAAAAGGCGAAGGGCGAGCAGUCCGCCCCGCGCGAAGAGGAAGAAGAGGAAGCGCGCAAGCGUCGCUGACGCGCGUUUCCGCUGGACAGGGACGCCCCGGCCCAGGCCGGGGCGUCUUUUUUGUUGCGUCACCGUGG
rnacentral:sRNA from 1 species